AAAGCCCACUCGAACCGUCGGUGCACGUCACGCACGCCCGUCACGCGUUUUUUGUUCCUCUCUCUCUCUCUCUCUCUCUCUAAAAUUGCUCGCACCAUAUCAUAUGAUGGGAUGACACCAGCACCACUGCCUGUCUUCUUCUUCUUCUUCCCUCUCUCCUCCGCCCCAAUCUCUCUCGCCUGUUAAAUCGCCGGCCGCCCGCGGCAAAAGCUCCGGCGACUGAUCUCGCCGGAAAAUUUAGACGGUGGAUCUGGGAGGGGAUUGCAGCUCGCAUUUUGGGUUCCAUUGUCCCGGGUCUGGAAUUCGAGUGUCGCGGCAAAGAUCGAAACUUUCGAUUUUUUUUUUUUUUUUUGCUGUAAUGAAUUAGGGUUCUUGAUGCCAUUUUGGGAGGGAAUCUUUGAGCGUGAGAGUUUUGGAGCAAAUCUUUGAGGAAUGUGGUGAGGAUUUCGGGUCCGUUUUGGGGAAAUCGGGUUCUCGAAUCUUUGCUGGUUUCUAUAAAUAGCGGGGGGUCAAAAAAGGAAAGCCAUUUUUUUGGAUCCGGCAUUGCCGAGACGCACCGUUUUGGGUCACUGCGUUGAUGUUUGUAGGCGGAAGAGAGAAUAUACAGAGAUUGAUGUGCAAGGUGGAGAAGAAGGAGAGAAAGGGAGUGAUGGGAUUUAAGGUGUUGGGAGGCGGCGGAGGAGGAGGGGAAAAGUUAAAGAACUCGAUGCUGGUCACGGCGGCGUCGUCGCCGUCGCCGUCGAGGUCGAAAAUGAAGCUGUGGAUGAUCCGUGCGACUUCGUCGGUUUUGUUGUGGACGUGCAUCGUGCAAUUAACGGCUCUGGGGGAUAUGUGGGGUCCUAGGGUUUUGAAAGGGUGGCCUGCUUGUUUCUCUCUGGAGUCCGCCGCCGCCUCCUCCGUCUUGCAAGACAGGUUGCCUUCUCUUCCGGCCAGAGCUCUUCCGCCCAAGAGGGUUUAUAAAAACAAUGGUUAUCUGAUGGUAUCAUGCAAUGGGGGACUCAAUCAAAUGAGAGCAGCGAUAUGUGACAUGGUUGCUAUCGCAAGAUAUUUGAACGUCACUCUCAUAGUCCCUGAACUCGACAAAACCUCCUUUUGGGCUGAUUCCAGUGAAUUCGAAGACAUAUUUGAUGUGGAUCAUUUCAUCACAUCCUUGAGAGAUGAGGUUCGCAUAUUGAAAGAGCUGCCUCCCAGGGUAAAGAGGAGAGUGGAGCUAGGAAUGUUUUAUACCAUGCCACCCGUUAGUUGGUCUGAUAUGUCUUAUUAUCGUAAACAGAUUCUUCCUCUGAUACAAAAAUACAAAGUUGUACAUCUGAAUAGAACUGAUGCUCGACUUGCCAAUAACGGACAACCUUUGGAGAUUCAGAAACUUCGCUGCCGAGUUAAUUUCAGUGCUCUAAGAUUCACUUCUCAGAUAGAGGAGUUGGGCAGAAGGGUUAUCAGGCUUCUAAGGCAAAAUGGUCCAUUCCUUGUACUUCAUCUUAGAUAUGAAAUGGACAUGUUGGCAUUUUCUGGUUGUACUCAAGGUUGUAACAUCGAGGAGGUGGAAGAGUUGACAAGAAUGAGAUAUGCUUAUCCCUGGUGGAAAGAGAAAAUAAUAAAUUCUGACCUGAAAAGGAAAGAUGGUUUGUGUCCUCUGACACCUGAAGAAACUGCUCUUACACUGAGUGCCCUUGACAUUGACCGCGAUAUUCAGAUUUAUAUCGCAGCUGGUGAAAUCUAUGGCGCAGAGAGGAGAAUGGCAAGUCUUAGAGAGGCUUUUCCAAAAUUGGUCAGAAAAGAGACACUGUUGGAACCAUCAGACCUUAGGUUCUUUCAAAACCACUCAUCCCAAAUGGCAGCAUUGGAUUAUCUUGUCUCAUUGGAGAGUGAUAUCUUCGUUCCCACAUAUGAUGGAAACAUGGCUAAAGUGGUUGAAGGCCAUCGCAGGUUUCUUGGGUUCAAGAAGACAAUCUUACUGGACAGAAGGCUUCUUGUUGAUUUGAUAGACCGGUACACUAGUGGGUUGUUGAAUUGGGAUGAAUUUUCAUCUGCGGUAAAGGGAGCUCAUGCAAAUCGCAUGGGGAAACCAACUAAUAGGUUGAUGAUCCAAGACCGACCUAAAGAGGAGGACUAUUUCUAUGCCAACCCAGAAGAGUGUUUGCAACCAUCAGAUGAUGAACUAAGUAGUACGUGAUAUACAACGUUACAAGAUGUGUGACACUCAUCCAUGGUCUACAGUGUUGGCUGCCUUCCCACACAGAUCUGGAAGAAAAGUUGUCUACAGAGGUACGGCCAUAACGAGCAUUUUGUUCUGAAGAGGCGAUGGAGAUUGAUGUAGUGAAGUAAUCUUCAAGAGGAGCCCGAGAGGAUGCACGUAUGGUACGAGCUGUACGAUGUCUUUUAUCUUUUGUAUAAGCCCCGAAAUAAUCCAACUAAAUCAUGUAUAGAAAGCUACCCUGCCAUUCAGGGUGAGAACGAUCUUAAACUGCAUUGUCUGUGGGGUGGGGAAGAACAUAUAUAGGUUUGGUUUUACUGGAACUGCGAAAAAUCAUCAUCAAAAGAUCAUUGCCCUCUUACCCCCGUUUUGUAACGCCGGUCCUGGUCUGAUUCAGAGAGAACGGCCACGGCCAGCCGGGAUCCGAUUAUCAUGUUCCUGUACACAAAUCUCCAUUAAUUUACAUGUUCCAUAAGUGUUUGAUUUACUUGGA